rfam:Prunus persica cultivar Lovell chromosome G1, whole genome shotgun sequence.
AUAAAAGCAGGGCUUAGUUGCCUUAUGUGAACUGAGCUCCCGUAAACUUCAGGGACAUUAACUGCAUUGUUUUUGGGUGAACCUUUGUACUUGCAUCAGUUGCAUGUGACUUAAGGUUCAGUAAAUGAUGGCACAUUU